rnacentral:rRNA from 1 species
AGUCACUCCUACGGGAGGCAGCAGUGAGGAAUAUUGGUCAAUGGGCUUACGCCUGAACCAGCCAAGUCGCGUGAGGGAAGACUGCCCUAUGGGUUGUAAACCUCUUUUGCCAGGGAGCAAUUGGCGCUACGUGUAGCGUUAUCGAGAGUACCUGAAGAAAAAGCAUCGGCUAACUCCGUGCCAGCAGCCGCGGUAAUACGGAGGAUGCGAGCGUUAUCCGGAUUUAUUGGGUUUAAAGGGUGCGUAGGCGGAAUGCCAAGUCAGCGGUAAAAGCGCGGGGCUCAACCUCGGACCGCCGUUGAAACUGGCGUUCUUGAGUGGGCGAGAAGUAUGCGGAAUGCGCGGCGUAGCGGUGAAAUGCAUA